rnacentral:lncRNA from 10 species
CCGGAAGGCGGAGCUUGCAGUGAGCGGAGAUCGCGCCACAGCACUCCCGCCUGGGCGACAGAACGAGACUCCGUCUCAAAAAAAAAAAAAAAAAAAAAAGCAAUAGUCACCUAUGGAGAUCCCAGGUGAAAUUGUAACAGAAUUCUUUGAAUUCUCCUAAACAAGGAAGAGACGGUCAGAGUUCAGAACACUUCCUCUAAGUAGGCAAGGAUAUACUAGCAUCUUAGUGGGAAAUAGAAAACAAAAAAUUGCAAAGGCUGUGGUGGUGGUGAUAAUGGUAAGAAGAAGAAAGAAGAAGGAGAAGGAGAAGGAAGAAAGGGAGGAGGAGAGGGAGAGGUAGGGGGAGGGGGAGGGGGAGGAAUCAUCAACAUUUAUUGUCACUUGGUGCAAGCAGGAGGAGGAAAAGUCAUCAACAUUUACUGUCAUUUGGUGCCAUGCACUGCACCAAGCACUUUACAUUCAUUGACUCAUUUAACUCUCACAUCAACUCUGUGAAGUUGUUCCUACUGGUAUCCCCAUUUUACUGCUGAAGAAACUGAGUCUCAGACAAAUUUACCAACUUGCCCAAGAUCACAGAGUCUAGAUGUUUUAUUUUUAAAACAUAUGAACUUCUGGAGCAUUUUAGUAAGAUAACCUGGACAGAAACAUGUGAAGACUGGUCCUCAGAGCCUCUUCCAGAUAACAGAACAUCUAGAAAAGACAACAUCAAUUGGGUGUUACUGAGAAUUGGUGUAUGAACCAGAUGCCACUGCCACACCUACUGAUAAAUUAAUUAGGGCAGCAAUUAAUUUAGUUUUGGUUGCACCGAUUUAAUCAUUGAAUAUUUAUUCAAGUCAUCACAGUGGAAUGAAUUUGGUUGAUGCAUUCAUUUACUAAUUUAUUAAUUCAUUGAUUAGCUGACACAUGCCAGCUACUGCAAGGCACUGAGGAUACAAAGAUUCAUGAGACUGUACCUGUCUUCAGGUCGUUCAGAGCCUAGAACGGGACCAUAGGCUUGGCAGGGUGGGAUUUUUCCUGUCUCUGCCCUCUCAAGCUGGCACCUUCAAGGCUAAGGUAAUAGAAGGAGUCCUUGUGUAUUGCCACAGAAAUGCAUUCUUAGCAUCAGAGAAAGGAUUGUGUCAGCAAGUGUGUAACCUUCCCCAUUUGUUUUUCAGACUUUGUAUUCUGAGGUCAGACCUAUACGGUGCUUCCUUUUUCCUUUCUUUUCCGUUUUUAGGAGCAGAAGCUACCUUUCC